rnacentral:tRNA from 1 species
GGGGUGUAGCUCAGUUGGUUAGAGCGCCUGCCUGUCACGCAGGAGGUCGCGGGUUCGAGCCCCGUCACUCC